CCUACGGGAGGCAGCAGUGAGGAAUGUUGGUCAAUGGACGCAAGUCUGAACCAGCCAUGCCGCGUGCAGGAAGACGGCCCUAUGAGUUGUAAACUGCUUUUGUACGAGGGUAAACGCAGAUACGCGUAUCUGUCUGAAAGUAUCGUACGAAUAAGGACCGGCUAACUCCGUGCCAGCAGCCGCGGUAAUACGGAGGAUUCCAGCGUUAUCCGGAUUUAUUGGGUUUAAAGGGUGCGUAGGCGGUCGGAUAAGUUAGAGGUGAAAUCCCGAGGCUCAACUUCGGAAUUGCCUUUGAUACGGUUCGGCUUGAGAGUAGUUGCGGUAGGCGGAAUGUAUGGUGUAGCGGUGAAAUGCUUAGAGAUCAUACAGAACACCGAUUGCGAAGGCAGCUUACCAAGCUACUUCUGACGUUGAGGCACGAAAGCGUGGGGAGCAAACAGGAUUAGAUACCCUAGUAGUC
rnacentral:rRNA from 1 species